AUGGCCCUUACGGCCUGGGCUACACACGUGCUACAAUGGUCGGUACAAAGGGUUGCCAAGCCGCGAGGUGGAGCUAAUACCCAUAAACCGAUCGUAGUCCGGAUCGCAGUCUGCAACUCGACUGCGUGAAGUCGGAAUCGCUAGUAAUCGUGAAUCAGAAUGUCACGGUGAAUACGUUCCCGGGCCUU
rnacentral:rRNA from 1 species